AUUGAACGCUGGCGGCAUGCUUUACACAUGCAAGUCGAGCGGAUGAGAGGAGCUUGCUUCUCGAUUCAGCGGCGGACGGGCGAGUAAUGCCUAGGAAUCUGCCUGGUAGUGGGGGACAACGUUUCGAAAGGAACGCUAAUACCGCAUACGUCCUACGGGAGAAAGCAGGGGACCUUCGGGCCUCGCGCUAUCAGAUGAGCCUAGGUCGGAUUAGCUAGUUGGUGAGGUAAUGGCUCACCAAGGCGACGAUCCGUAACUGGUCUGAGAGGAUGAUCAGUCACACUGGAACUGAGACACGGUCCAGACUCCUACGGGAGGCAGCAGUGGGGAAUAUUGGACAAUGGGCGAAAGCCUGAUCCAGCCAUGCCGCGUGUGUGAAGAAGGUCUUCGGAUUGUAAAGCACUUUAAGUUGGGAGGAAGGGUUGUAGAUUAAUACUCUGCAAUUUUGACGUUACCGACAGAAUAAGCACCGGCUAACUCUGUGCCAGCCGCCGCCGUAAGAC
rnacentral:rRNA from 1 species